rnacentral:rRNA from 1 species
UACGGAGGGUGCGAGCGUUGUCCGGAAUCACUGGGCGUAAAGGGCGCGUAGGCGGUGAAUCGGGUUGAAAGUGAAAGUCGCCAAAAAGUGGCGGAAUGCUCUCGAAACCAAUUCACUUGAGUGAGACAGAGGAGAGUGGAAUUUCGUGUGUAGGGGUGAAAUCCGUAAAUAUACGAAGGAACGCCAAAAGCGAAGGCAGCUCUCUGGGUCCCUACCGACGCUGGGGUGCGAAAGCAUGGGGAGCGAACAGG